CUCAUUGUCAGUCCCGGGGACCCGAGGAGGCGCCGGCGCCGGGAGCCGAGCGCCGGGCGGUCCGCAGGCGGGAGCGCGGGCCGGAGCCGCGGAGAUGAGGGAACUUCUACCCAGAGAAUUAUGAUAAUUCUGCGAGGGUCCCAGGACUGCACUGAAGACGUUGACUGGAGACUUGCUGGCAAGCACAACUUACGAAAGGAACAAGGGAAAGAGACGCAGCCAUAGCUACAAGAAGCACCUGGGACGGGGGAGGCGCAGCGAACUGGCGGGGAGCCCGAGUCUUUCUUGUCACUCAGGGUCCUCCCUGCCCUCUCGGCCGCUGCCUGGUUACACGCCUGCCCCCAACUUCCCCCCUCUCGCAUUAGGGCUGCUUUCAAAUGACUUCUGCUGGAACUGGGCAAGUUAAUUUCUCAAGCUUCCUUUCCCAAGGGCUUCCUGGUGCACUUAGAGGGGAAGAGACACUCAACAUGUGCGGGGGAUGUGGGCUUAAUCAGGAUGGCGAUGAGAAG
rnacentral:lncRNA from 1 species